rnacentral:rRNA from 1 species
UACAGAGGUCUCAAGCGUUGUUCGGAUUCAUUGGGCGUAAAGGGUGCGUAGGUGGCGCGGUAAGUCGGGUGUGAAAUUUCGGAGCUUAACUCCGAAACUGCAUUCGAUACUGCCGUGCUUGAGGACUGGAGGGGAGACUGGAAUUUACGGUGUAGCAGUGAAAUGCGUAGAUAUCGUAAGGAAGACCAGUGGCGAAGGCGGGUCUCUGGACAGUUCCUGACACUGAGGCACGAAGGCCAGGGGAGCAAACGGG